AGGCACAGAGCGGCUAAACAAACAUUUUUGAAUUAGUGAAUGAGCUCAGCUGGUGGGCCGUUUUAGCUCUGCCUGCACCUUGUAGGCACAUACUUGAGGAAUGAAAUGACAGACUGGGACAGUCUGCGGUGGGAUAAGCCAGGGAUGAAGGCAUCUGUUCAGUGGUCUGACAACCCAAAGCACUAUUCAUGAUGCCUUACAACUGUGAUCUUUAACACACAUGUUUAAAUUUGAUCUUAUUAGCUGUGUGAGAGAAAGAACUACCAUGGUGGCCAUCUUAUAGAUGGGGUUCACUGAAACCCAGAAAGGCAGUGGUUUGGAGGAAGUCAUAGCUGGGCUGGAGGUCUUAGGACCCCCGAUGCGAUGCUCACAGUCUCCUGCUACCUUGCUAGGGUGGGCUGUCUACCCAAGCCCUUUGCACGUCUCAUUUUAGUAUCUCCUGUGCUCUGUUCUUUGCUCCAGGAACCCUGGGUCUAACGCCUGACCAAAGGCCUCCUCUCCUCUGUCGGGCUGAGGAGGGGGCAGUGGUAGAGAAGGAAUCCAGCCCCUCCCGCCCUGGCUCAGUGCCACCAGUAACCUGUCCAGCUGUUUGGGGGGGGGGGGGGCAUUUCCCACUCGGGGCUCAGAGUGAAGGCAUUCCUUUGCUUCAGGGUAACAGCAGGGUGGAGAGGAAAAGGGCCUUCGCGAACUGAGCCUGAACUGAGCUUCCUAAUGAAGGGAAUGGUGACAGUAGGGAAGGACAGGCCAGGUCAGCAGGGCUGAGCAGUGUGGGCAGUCAGGCGGCAGCGGGUGGGAUAAUUAAAGAUAAUACCGACACCUGCUUCUCCUCUGAAGGAGCCGGCCGCCUCGCGUGUUCCCACUAGAAGGGAAUGAGUUGGCAGAUCUUGCCUCCUGUGGGCCUGGCCCCUCUUGUCAGAGAGCGGAGCCCCCUCUCCCCAGGAGGCUGCUUACCCUGAGCAAUUAGAGGGGGCAAUCUUUCUGCUUGGGAGGGGACCAGUGUGCCGCCUCCUGGGCACAGGCCAACGGGAGGAGUUUCUAGACCUGCUUCUAGAAGUGGCCUAGCAUGAGGAGGGGGGUUAUUAACACCUCACCCCCAGGCCCUCCCAAAGAAUUACUUGGGGGUGGAGCCAUGGACACUAGGCCUCAGAGAUGUCACAGGAAUUUUUUUUUUAAUUUAAUGGGAAAUAAGACAUAAAAAGGCAUAAGAGCAACACAAUACAUAACUGAGCACCCACUACCCAGCUUAAAAAAAUAUAACAUCAAUUUUUUUCCCUUUCCCCUCAGAAGAAGCCACUUGAACGUGCAUUUCUAGGCACAGGGGUGGCCUGAGGAUUCUUUGCUGCCCCUCUGGGGUAACAGCAUGUGGGACUCUCGGAAGAGGAUACAAAAGAGAACAAGGACGUGGGCGAUGACCACAGAGAGACGGGCAGAGAGAAGGGGGAGAGGCCUCUGGUGCUCACCCUGUAAAUGGAGUGACCUGAGCAAGUGCCUCACAACCCGAGCCGAGGGGCAGUUCAGACUGAGAAGGUGGGCCGGUCUCGGGCGUGUGCAAGCCGAGUUUUGAAUCCUGGUCUCUGCCAUUUCCAGUGAAACACUGGGCAAUUCCUGGCCAUCUCUGAGCCUCAUCUAUAGAAGACCUGUAGGGAGGUUGAAAUUACACCAUCUGUGCAAUAUCUGGCAUAGUCUAGAGAUCCCACAUGUGUUAGCCCCAUCCCAGAGGUGCCGGCUGAGACUCACAUGAGACCUUUUUCCACGUCCCUCCAUAAGGGGACCGUUACACCUUGCGAAUGGCCCACCCAACUCCCAACCGUUAUUCUUCUGAGAUAAUUUGCUGGGGGCGUGUGAGGAGAAAGGGGAGAAGAAAGGCAGGACGAUUCAUUCCUAAGGGAUCUGGCUAGAUAUCAGAUCUCCUCCUCCGUCCAUAUCAUGCAGACUCCACUUAGAUACAAAGGGGUGGGAUUGGGUUCCUGGGGAGAAAUCGAGCCUCUUAGGUUCUGCUUGGUCUCAACCCAGCAGUUCCUUGGUUACCCACUCCCGGGCUUUCUGAUUGGCUGGCUGUGGUGUAUGGAGGGGUGGGGUAAAGUAAGCUGCUGAUGGAAUUGCAGCAUCCCUUAGUCUCCGGCCCUGGAAGGGGGAGGGGGAAAACGAGGGCUGAGCAGUGGAGGGAGGAGGGAGCCAUUUCUCUCCACUGACUGCAACCUCCGUGCUCACAGCUCACAUUUCCCUGCAAUCCAGAGGCCUCCUCGGCCAAGGACUCCAUCAUGCUGGAUAUUUUCAUUCUGAUGUUCUUUGCCAUCAUAGGCCUGGUCAUUCUCUCCUACAUUAUCUAUCUGCUCUAGUGCCUGCAGCUGCGGAGCCCACAGGAGAACAGCUCAGGGGAGAAGGAUGAAGCUGACUGGCCGAGCAUCCUGCUUGCUGACGCACCGCUGGAUUUUUGCUUCUGGUCAUUAUUUCGGUUCCUGGUCUCCAGCCCAACAAGAGGCCUCUUAUCAACAGCAGCUGUCCUGCCGCCCAACAGACCUCCUCCAGAGCCUUCCGGAUAUGGCUAACCCCUGUCAAGCAAGGGACUUUUUGAGUUCAGAGUCUGAGGCCCUCGGCUGGGACAGUAGGAAUUCAUGGCAUGGCUGGCAGGUGUGCGUGCUUUUGAGCUAUAAACUGAAAAGGACACAGAUAGCUGAAAUGUAGACUUGCUAAAAUGCUCAUGGAGAACUUCUCAAAAUUCAUUUUGAUAGGAUAGCCUUUCCUUGGGUCUUUUCUUUCCCUCACACGAAGGUGUUCCUUUGUUAAGUCCAAGACCACAUUGUCUCUCGUGACCGAGUCACUUUAUCACUGUCUAUGGAUUGUACAAUCUGGGGUGUGCGGUUUCCUUUGACUUAGUCUCUGGCCAGAAGGAACUUGUCAUUUGAGCUUUUAAGAUUUACUUUCCCCACUCCCUACCCUACCACUUGCGCUCCAGCUUCCCAUUUAAAGAGAGAAACAGUUGGUUCUAUAGUUCUCAUUCUUUGUGCUUGGCUGAGUCAUAAAUUAUUGAAACAAGAUGGCUAUGCUUGUUAUUUGGGAGAAAUCUCUCUCUUACUGCAAAGUAAAUGCUUUUUUAAGUUGUCAAA